ACUGUCCCCUUUUUCCCACGCAUCGCAAACAACAACAAACCAGAUUUUUUUUUUCAACUGUGGUCGGUGCUGUGCUUAUUAUUUAAUUCGUCUUCGUUAAGUGUAAAUUCUAGUAAAUUGUCUCGAAAGUGAGAACUGCAUGAAAGGAAGGCAUAUCUUUUGGCAUUAUUCGGUUAUUUGAGGCUCUUAGAAAUAUUCCUGAAACGCCGCCAGUAUCCAAAGAUGCUCCCGUUCCCGCGUAAAUUUACUGCUUUGAUCAUCAGACAAGGACGAGGCCAUAAUACAAUACGCCGAAAAAAACGACCGGGCUCGCGACCGGGACAUGGAAUCAUGGAAUCGGAAGAUAAUAUGUAGUUCCGGUACCCAUUUGUGUCCGACGAAAACAUCAUCGUGCAUUGUAUAAACAACUACCCUGCGAACCCCGACGAAUGCAUAUAUUUUUUUCAGCCGCCUUGGCGAAUGAGAGCUUGCCGAGCUUGCACUAUUUAAUAAAGAAAUACUUAAAAUAAUAAAAUUCAUAAACUUCAUACACACAAAAAAAAAUCGUUGGUAAAAAUCAAAGAAACGUUAGUAAAAUUAAGAAAAUUAGUUAGUGAUUU